rnacentral:rRNA from 1 species
GAAGUAAAAGUCGUAACAAGGUUUCCGUAGGUGAACCUGCGGAAGGAUCAUUAAAGAGUAAGGGUGCUCAGCGCCCGACCUCCAACCCUUUGUUGUUAAAACUACCUUGUUGCUUUGGCGGGACCGCUCGGUCUCGAGCCGCUGGGGAUUCGUCCCAGGCGAGCGCCCGCCAGAGUUAAACCAAACUCUUGUUAUUAAACCGGUCGUCUGAGUUAAAAUUUUGAAUAAAUCAAAACUUUCAACAACGGAUCUCUUGGUUCUCGCAUCGAUGAAGAACGCAGCGAAAUGCGAUAAGUAAUGUGAAUUGCAGAAUUCAGUGAAUCAUCGAAUCUUUGAACGCACAUUGCGCCCCUUGGUAUUCCGAGGGGCAUGCCUGUUCGAGCGUCAUUACACCACUCAAGCUAUGCUUGGUAUUGGGUGCCGUCCUUAGUUGGGCGCGCCUUAAAGACCUCGGCGAGGCCUCACCGGCUUUAGGCGUAGUAGAAUUUAUUCGAACGUCUGUCAAAGGAGAGGACUUCUGCCGACUGAAACCUUUAUUUUUCUAGGUUGACCUCGGAUCAGGUAGGGAUACCCGCUGAACUUAAGC